UACGGCUAAAUCACGUUGAAAGACCGGUUCUCGUCCGAUCACCGAAGUUAAGCAACGUUGAGCUUUAUCCAUACCUAGACGGCUGACCGUUUGUGAUCAUCAGGUGCUGUAAG